CCAUAGUUAAAUCAUAUGAAAAAUUAAUUAAAAAACUAUAAUGUUGGAGAAGAUACUCGGAGAUUCAUGAAUGAGAGCUGUUUGAGAAGAUCUGUGUCAUUCAAGCUAUUGCAAAGCUGGCGUGGUGGGAGGAGAAUUGGUGGUGUGUUUUGAUGUUGUUGGUGGUGGGGAGGAGAGAGAAGGGUGGUGGAAGGUGUAAAAGAAAUAAUCC
rnacentral:lncRNA from 1 species